rnacentral:rRNA from 1 species
AUUGAACGCUGGCGGCAGGCCUAACACAUGCAAGUCGAACGAGUGGCGGACGGGUGAGUAAUGUCUGGGAAACUGCCUGAUGGAGGGGGAAAAUACUGGGAAAGGGUGGUUAUACCCGAAAACCACAAGAUGUCCCCAGAUGGGAUUAGCUUGUUGGUGGGGUAACGGCUCACCAAGGCGACGAUCCCUAGCUGGUCUGAGAGGAUGACCAGCCACACUGGAACUGAGACACGGUCCAGACUCCUACGGGAGGCAGCAGUGGGGAAUAUUGCACAAUGGGCGCAAGCCUGAUGCAGCCAUGCCGCGUGUAUGAAGAAGGCCUUCGGGUUGUAAAGUACUUUCAGCGGGGAGGCGUUACCCGCAGAAGAAGCACCGGCUAACUCCGUGCCAGCCGCCGCGGUAAUUC